GAUGAACGCUGGCGGCGUGCCUAAUACAUGCCAGUCGAGCGAACAGACGAGGAGCUUGCUCCUCUGACGUUAGCGGCGGACGGGUGAGUAACACGUGGAUAACCUACCUAUAAGACUGGGAUAACUUCGGGAAACCGGAGCUAAUACCGGAUAAUAUAUUGAACCGCAUGGUUCAAUAGUGAAAGACGGUUUUGCUGUCACUUAUAGAUGGAUCCGCGCCGCAUUAGCUAGUUGGUAAGGUAACGGCUUACCAAGGCAACGAUGCGUAGCCGGCCUGAGAGGACGACCAGCCACACUGGGACUGAGACACGGCCCAGACUCCUACGGGAGGCAGCAGUGGGGAAUUUUGGACAAUGGGCGCAAGCCUGAUCCAGCAAUGCCGCGUGCAGGAAGAAGGUCUUCGGGUUGUAAACUGCUUUUGUACGGAACGAAACGGCUCUGGUUAAUACCCGGGGCUAAUGACGGUACCGUAAGAAAAAGCACCGGCUAACUACGUG
rnacentral:rRNA from 1 species